AGCAUCGAGAGGUCAAAAUUAAGUGUCAACAGCAGCUGAAGCAGACAUGUUAUAAAUGUCUAUUUUAUUUUUUAUUAAAUAUUAUUAAUUUUUUAAUAUGUAAAUGACUUAUAAUAAUUAAUUAGGGGUAAUAUAGUAAAAUCACAGAGUAGCUAAAGUAGGUGAAGAAGCAGGCAUGUCGACAAAGUGUUGCCUACUUCUUUACACUUAUUAAUAAUAGU
rnacentral:lncRNA from 1 species